AUUGAACGCUGGCGGCAUGCCUUACACAUGCAAGUCGAACGGUAACGGGCCUUCGGGUGCCGACGAGUGGCGAACGGGUGAGUAAUGUAUCGGAACGUACCUUUCAGUGGGGGAUAACGUAGCGAAAGUUACGCUAAUACCGCAUAUCCUGUGAGCAGGAAAGCAGGGGAUCGCAAGACCUUGCGCUGUUUGAGCGGCCGAUAGCAGAUUAGCUAGUUGGUGGGGUAAAGGCUCACCAAGGCGACGAUCUGUAGCGGGUCUGAGAGGAUGAUCGGCCACACUGGAACUGAGACACGGUCCAGACUCCUACGGGAGGCAGCAGUGGGGAAUUUUGGGCAAUGGGGGCAACCCUGAUCCAGCCAUGCCGCGUGAGUGAAGAAGGCCUUCGGGUUGUAAAGCUCUUUCGGCCGGGAAGAAAUCGUAUCAGCUAAUACCUGGUGCGGAUGACGGUACCGGCAUAAGAAGCACCGGCUAACUACGUGCCAGCCGCCGCAGUAA
rnacentral:rRNA from 1 species